CCCAAGGGGGCGGCUUCCCCGAGAGGUCUGCAGCAGAGCGCGAUCCUUCCUUCCUUCACCGCAAAAGCAAUCUUUGCUUAGCCGAGUGGGGAGUGCUGCUGCUGCUGCUGCUGUGCCUUUCUCGCUGGAGCCAUGGAGAAGCCGCAGCCCCGCGCGGAGCCCUUCUCGCACCCCUUGGAGGGCUCUCCCCCGCCGCCGCCGCCGCCUCUCCCUCCUCCUCCGGGGGAGAAGCGCUUCAGGCUGUGGUACGUGGGCUGCUCCUGCCUGGACCGCCGCACCACGCUGCCCAUGCUGCCCUGGCUGAUGGCCGAGAUCCGGCGCCGCAGCCAGAAGCCCGAGCCCAGCGCCGUGCCGCCCCGCGAGGUGCUCCUGCUCCUGGGCUCGCCCACCCUGCGCUGCGUGCCUUCCUCCUCCUCCUCGGCCGCUGCCUCCGCUUCCAACCCGGCCGUCUUCAUCUUCGAGCACAAGGCGCAGCACAUCGCCCGCUUCGUGCACAACAGCCACGACCUCACCUACUUCGCCUACCUGAUCAAGGCGCAGCCCGAGGACCCCGACUCACGCAUGGCCUGCCACGUCUUCAGGGCCGCCGAGCCCGGGCAGGUUCCUGAUGUCAUUAGUAGCAUAAGGCAAGCUUCAAAAGCAGCUCUCAAAGAGGAUGUCAAGCCCAAUAAAGACAGUGAAGAUGCUUUCUACAACUCCCAAAAAUUUGAGGUCCUCUACUGCGGAAAAGUGACUGUGGCUCACAAAAAAGCCCCUUCCACUCUGAUUGAUGACUGCAUUGAGAAGUUCAGUCUGCAUGAGCGUCAGCGCCUGAAGCUGCUGAGUGAGCACCGGAAUUCAGAAUCCAGCACAGACCUUGCUGGGGGUGAUGGGGACAUACCGACAUCUCCUUUUGACAGUCCGUUUGAGGAGGAGGAGGAGGCAGAUAGCCCAGAUGGGGGUAAAACGGGGAUGUUCAUAGUGGGAAGCCAGACCAAUCUGGCCAGCCUGGCGAGUUGUCGUGUCUCCUUCCCUGAACGGAUUUUGGAGGAUUCUGGGUUUGAUGACCAGCAGGAGUUUCGCUCCCGGUGCAGCAGCGUCACAGGUGUUAUGCAAAGGAAGACACACGAUAAUUCAAAAACACAGUCGCGGCGGCGACAUGCAAGUGCCCCCAGCCACGUCCAGCCUUCAGACUCUGAAAAGAACAGGACGAUGCUGUUUCAGGUUGGACGAUUUGAAAUUAAUCUUAUCAGUCCAGACACUAAAUCCGUUGUGUUUGAAAAGAACUUUAAAGAUAUUUCCUCAUGUUCUCAGGGCAUAAAACAUAUUGAUCAUUUUGGUUUCAUUUGUCGGGAAUCUAUUGAAACGGGAAUUAGCCAGUACGUUUGCUACGUAUUCCAGUGUGCAAGUGAGUCUUUGGUUGAUGAGGUCAUGCUCACGUUGAAGCAAGCUUUUAGCACUGCUGCAGCACUACAGAAUGCCAAGACUCAGAUUAAGCUUUGUGAAGCCUGCCCAAUGCAUUCAUUGCAUAAACUCUGUGAAAGGAUUGAAGGGCUUUAUCCACCAAGAGCUAAACUUGUCAUUCAGAGACAUCUGUCAUCCCUCAGUGACAAUGAACAAGCGGACAUCUUUGAGCGUGUUCAGAAAAUGAAACCUAUUAGUGACCAGGAAGAAAAUGAGCUUGUGAUUCUACAUUUGCGACAACUAUGUGAAGCUAAACAAAAGACACAUGUUCAUAUUGGAGAAGCACCAGUGCAGAAUGCUUCCAACAACACAAUUCCUGAAAAUGCAGCUAGUGGUGGCAGAUUCAAACUUGACAUUCUGAAAAACAAGGCCAAGAAAUCUUUGACUAGUUCUCUUGAAAACAUCUUCUCAAGGGGAGCAAACAGAAUGCGCGGCCGUCUGGGGAGCAUGGACAGUUUUGAAAGGUGCAACAACCUCACUUCUGACAAAGACUGUUCCUCUGGGGAGUCCCCUCCUCUGACCCCUCCUGCGUCGCCCAUAUCGUCCGCCUGGCAGCCCUUCCCUGAGGAGGAUUCUGAUUCACCCCAGUUCCGACGGCGGGCCCACACCUUCAGCCACCCGCCCUCCAGCUCAAAGAAGAGGAUCACUUUCCAAGAAGGGAGGUCCCAAAGUGUCAAGUCUCCCCUCCUGAGGCAGAAUUCUGUGGAACAUGGCAGGCCAGCAAUUUCCCGACGUACUUACAGUGAGAGUGAAUCAUCUACAUCAUCCAGUCUCCCUUCUUCCUUCUCUGCCCCAUCUUUCCUGAAAAGCUUUUACCAGAGCUCAGGAAAGCCAUCUCCACAGUCCGAAAAUGAACUCUCCAAGAGUGAUGGAGAAAGAAGAAAAAGGACCUCCUCUGUAUGCAGUAAUGACUCUCUGAAUGCUGGAGGAAUCACUCUUACUCCUCGCCGAAUUUCCUGGCGGCAGAGGAUCUUCCUAAGGGUUGCAUCGCCCAUAAAGAAAUCUCCCUCAGCAAUGCAACUUCAAGAUGGGAUGGAUGGAAAUGAAUUGUUACCACUAUCUCCUCUGGCGCCAUGCUUUGAUGAAGACCCUCUCAUUUCAAUAUUGCAAAAUGAUGACGGCCAAGAAAAGUCCGGGGAGAAAAAGAACUCUGAAGAGUUGCAGAGUCUGUGGAGAAAAGCCAUCCAUCAGCAGAUACUGCUUCUUCGGAUGGAAAAGGAGAACCAGAAAUUGGAAGCAAGCAGAGAUGAGCUCCAAUCCAGAAAAGUUAAGAUGGACUAUGAGGAAGUUGGGACUUGUCAGAAAGAUGUGAUCAAUAUCUGGGAUAAGAAACUAUCGAACUUCAGAGCCAAAAUCAAAUGUGACAUGGAAGAUAUUCAUGCAACUUUGAAAGAUGGUGUACCAAAAGGUCGCCGAGGUGAAAUUUGGCAAUUUCUUGCUGUGCAGCAUCGAGUAAGACAUCGUCUGCCAAAUAAGCAGCAACCCCCUGACAUCUCUUACAAAGAACUUCUCAAACAACUGACAGUUCAACAACAUGCUAUCCUUGUAGAUCUAGGAAGGACCUUCCCAACUCACCCCUACUUUUCUGCUCAGUUAGGAGCCGGGCAACUGUCACUCUUCAACCUCCUGAAAGCGUACUCCUUGCUGGACAAGGAGGUGGGUUACUGCCAAGGUAUCAGCUUUGUGGCUGGAGUGCUGCUUCUCCACAUGAGCGAAGAGCAAGCCUUUGAAAUGCUCAAAUUUCUCAUGUACGACCUUGGCUUCCGGAAGCAGUAUCGGCCUGACAUGAUGUCACUACAAAUCCAGAUGUACCAGCUGUCAAGACUACUUCAUGACUACCACAGAGACCUCUAUAACCAUCUGGAGGAGAAUGAAAUCAGCCCCAGCCUUUAUGCUGCACCUUGGUUCCUUACUUUAUUUGCUUCACAGUUUCCAUUGGGUUUUGUUGCCAGAGUGUUUGAUAUUAUUUUUCUUCAGGGAACAGAAGUCAUAUUUAAAGUGGCACUAAGUCUGCUUAGUAGCCAUGAGGAACCUAUCAUGAUGUGUGAGACUUUUGAAAGCAUUGUUGAGUUUCUUAAAAAUACUCUCCCAGACAUGUCAAAGCCCCAGAUGGAGAAGAUUAUGACACAGGUAUUUGAGAUGGAUAUUUCCAAACAGCUUCACGCCUACGAGGUGGAGUACCAUGUCCUGCAGGAUGAACUACAAGAAAACACAAAUCCAUGUGACGAGGGGGAGGUACCAGAGAAACUUGAAAGGGCAAACAAUCAGCUGAAGAGACAGAAUAUGGACCUCCUGGAAAAACUACAGGUGGCUCAUGCUAAAAUCCAGAGUAUGGAAUCACACCUGGAAGAUGCUUUGGCAAGAGAGAACAAAAUGAAGAGUUUGAUCCAGUCACUGGAAAAAGAGAAGGCAUUCUAUCAGAUGACUGUUGAGAAACUGUGUAGAUAUUUGCCUGAUGAAGCACUCUCUGACUGCAGGCAACUGCUAAAGGAGGUGAACUGUAGCCCAAGCAAAAUCCUGAAAUAAGCCAUAAAUAAAGAGUUGCAGGCAACAUGGUUCUGACAAUAUGAAAAAAGGAAAGUGAUAACAGGCUGCUGUAAAUGGUAUCUGCAUCAUCUCACACGGGUACUGCAGCAAUAGAGAGGCCUUUUAAACCUUGAUAUGCAAAUCCCAGGUUAAAUGUUUUUAAUAAUGCGUGUACAGUGUGCAAAAACAGAAGUAAAAGAUUGAAUCUAAUCAAGACAAUUAGAUGUAUAUUUAGGAUUGAUCAAAGGGAAAAGGGAUGAGUUUUUACCCUUGAAGAUAGCAUAAAUCUCAGCGUGUUCCCUUGACACAGAGUGAAAGGAACAUGUUGCCUCUUUUCUAUAAUAUUGAUUAAUACUUGAAAAGAAAAGCAAGAAUGUAAUUUUUUCCCUCCAAAGAACAGCAUGUUUCCCAUUUUAGUGGGGGAUUUCUUUGUGUUGUCUGUAGGGUUUUUUUUGUUUUGUUCGUUUUCAUGGGGGGAGGGGGAAUCCCUGUACGCUCUUAUGUGCCUGUAAUUAAAUCUACUGACAAUUGCACACUUGCGGCAGCCAUUCUGCCUGGCUGUCAUUCUGCAGCUGUGCUGCUGAGGAGGGUUAUCAGUGCCAAGAAAUACUGUGCUGAAUUCCCUGAUUUAUUUGUUGCCGACUGUUUGUUGCUGGGAAAAGUGAGAAGAAAUAGGAGCUGAAAACUAGGAAGGAAUGAGAAAAUCUUGACAAAUUUCCUGGGAGCAGGACCAUGAGGCUUUGAUGCUUACCUAACCAUAAUGUGACUUGAGUUCUCUCACUCUAAAUUUUUACUUCUUUUUCUUUCUUUCUCUCUUUCUGCCUUUGUGUUCAGAUCCUCUUAAUUUUACAAUCCGAGAGAUAUUCGUCACUGCUUUGCAAUCUCCCUGCUCCUUUUCCUAAUAAGAACAAUGUUGUGGCAUCAUCCCUUUGGGGCUUUCUAGAGCUCCUGUUUAUUAAAUGCAAAAAAGGUGCCCAAGGGCGUUUUUUUAUUUGUUGAAAGAACUUUCUGUCUUUGUUUAAUGAUUCUAAGAUCAGAUUUGUUGAUCUUUUCAGACAAAUGGCCCAAGUUUGCCCAUGCCUGCUCUAUAUUAAACAGAAGCAGCACUUUGAUACCACUUUGUCUUCUGUGUCUCCCUCCUACAGAAUAAUUGGAUUUGUCAACUGGUAGUUCUAUGGUUCAAGGAGAGCACAGGAAGCCAUUAGUAGCAAAUCAAAAGCACUAGACAAACUAUAAAUCCCAACACCCCACAGUAUGGUACCAUGGAAGUUAAGGUGUCAUCCAGUGCUAUAAAACUGCUUAGUGUAGACACAGCAGCUAUCAGUGCUUUGACAUGUGAGCUUGAAUGAAGGCACACAAUUGGUGUUAGGCACCAAAAGCCUACCUAUAGUUUUGGGAUUUUAAUACUUACCUUCACUUCAAACCACUGGGGCAGGUGUUGUUUCAAACCCUAACACUUUACACUAUUAUUUUCUCCUGAUCUUUCUUUUUGAUAGCUGCAAUAGUAUUUUUGAAAUUAGACUAAAUAGGUGGUUCUCAAUGUGUGGGUCCCCAGAUGUUUUGGCUUUCAACUCACAGAAAUCCUAAAAAGCUGGUAAAUUGGCUGGGAUUAAUGGGAGUUGUAGGCCAAAACACCUGGGGACCCACAGGUUGAGAACCAUUGGACUAAAUUAAUGAUGAAUAUGAGUGGUGGAAUGAAUGUUGUAGCUUGAGCAGGAGGAGAUUCCACUUUCCUUGAAGUUUAGAUUUAAUCCAGUGUGAAGGGGGAUGUACAGGGAGCAUGUUAGAUGGCCAAGAGUUUAAAGCAAUCAAAUAAAGAAAAGAAAGACAUAUUGUGUUAAAUGACAAAUAAUAGAAAACCCAUACUUGACUUUUGCAUUUUCCAGAGAGUGACACUAGGAAGCUCCACUGUCUUGUGGGGAAGAAAUACAGUUGUAACACAAAGUCUUUUAGGGGCAAGAACAGCAGAGAAAACUGCAAGGCAGUAGGAAACAGCACAUGGGUGGCAUCAUAACGAAGAAUCACCCCCAGGUCACUUUGUUACAGCAAGGAAAGCACUACAGCCCAGUAUUCUGCAAGUUUUGAUAAUUUCUCAAACCCCUGUGAAAGAGAGAAGCAGAUCCCCGUGAAAGAGAGAUGCAGAACAAUCUUACCUCUCUUGCAGAGACGUGAAGAACUUACGCAAAGGAAACUGGUCCAGCACUGGAAUAUUUUUCAGAUGCAUGUCAGCAAGUGGGCCAUCUUAGUUUCCAAGUUAUGUUUGAAGUUAGGAUUAAGCAUAGCUGUUUCUCUCCCCGCGCUCUCUUUCUCCUGUGCAUCAGUGCAUGAAAUUGAGAGCAGAAACAGACUAACAAAAGCCAUAUGUGAUAUAUAUAUUCCUGAGGCUGUGAGACUACAGAUGGAGGAUGAAAUGUUUGAAGGCAUCUCUCAUAAUCAACUUCCUGCACCCACAGAACUCUCUUGCUAAAGAAAGCGUGCUAUAAUACGCUUUGCUGCAACAUGCUAAUUUUAUGCAUUAUAUGGGAAAAGCUUUCAAACAUUGCAUCUCUUGUCUAUUGACAUGGUACAGGUUUAGAUAAAUCAUGUGGAGCUUGUAUUAAGUUGUGCAUACAUAUAUAAUGUGGAGAAGCCUUCAGUUUGAAUUCUGUUUCAUGCAAUAAAAAUACAUGAUGUUUACAGGUUUCAAUGAGCCAAACAAACUUUGUCAGAUUUCUCCCUAUUCCUAUUCUGCUUAAAGGGCCAAUAACAGUCCAGCUUUUCUUCUUCUCUGUAUUGGAUAAAAUGUAUGCAUUAGGAUUCUCUUAAAUGCAUAGAAGAUGCAUGUAAAAUGUGGGACCCUCUAGAACAGUGGUUCUCAACCUGUGGGUUCCCAGGUGUUUUGGCCUACAACUCCCAGAAAUCCCAGCCAGUUUGCCAGCUGUUAGGAUUUCUGGGAGUUGAAGGCCAAAACAUCUGGGGACCCACAGGUUGAGAACCACUGCUCUAGAAGUUGUUUCCAGCACUCAUAACUAGCAGAGUCAAUGGUGAGGGAUAAUAAAAGCUGAAAUUCAGAUGUUUGGAAAGCCACAUGUUCCCCAGUCAUAGUGCAGAAUAUCACACUUCAUAUAAAAUUUAGUAGCCUCAAAGAAGCAUAUCAGCAUUCAUUGUGUUAACUUUUUAGGAAGAUUGUUGUUCAGAUUUAGUGGUCUGUACAAAUACCUGUUCCAUAGUAAACUUUAAAUAAAUUAAAAAAAACCUAAGAGAUCCAAAAACUUAGAUCCCAUUGGAUGCUUUCCAGGCAGCUUCUGUCCUUUUAAUUACCUGAAAACGUGUUAUUUUGGGUUGUUUCUGUCAGACCAGACACUGAAAUCAAUAUUUGACCUGACAAAGCUAUGAAAUUAGCAGUUGAUCGUAACACAAAAAAUGUGCAUUUAUCAUUUUGGAACAAGCUUGAAUUCUUGUUAACAGUCAGUGGGAUUUCGUUACAUUCUUCCAGAUAUUUUUUUUAAUAAGCAAAGUGCCAAAUUAAGCCAAGUGUCUUAUUCAUACAAGUGGGGUGAAGUGAAGGAGGGUCAAGUGUGGAGAGGGUGCCAGUGUUUCUCAUGCAAAUAAUAAGCAAAAUGUAGAGGAAACCUGAUUUGGUUCAUGAUUACUUCCACGUGAGUCUUCCCCGCUUCUCCCUCUUGUUAGAUAGAGGAUAGCUUUGAUGGAAUUAUCGCAGGCACGGUCCAACAGAUAUGAAAGGAAUGAAUAGAGGAAAGGUUUUCCAAUAAAUUGUGCCUAGAAUUAUUUUCUUCCCAUUAUUGCUUCUUACCAAAUCAAUCUAUUCAAGUUACAUUAGUAAUUGUCUUUUACUAUAUGGAAGGAAAAAGUGUUUUGCUUUAAUUAGAGGCAAUUUUGUGCAGACAAGAUUACUCUGAGAGGACUGUUGGAACUGUAUUAUUGUUGUUAACAAGUUUUUAAGGCACACACCGGUAUUCUUUAUUUUUUUAUUUUUUUUAGGGGCACAGAACAUUUCAACCUGUGUUGGACUUGCUGAUUUGUUCAUAUAUCACCUGAAAAAAAAUCCAAUAAAUGACAUUGCUGCA